GACGAACGCUGGCGGCGUGCCUAAUACAUGCAAGUAGAACGCACAGUUUAUACCGUAGCUUGCUACACCAUAGACUGUGAGUUGCGAACGGGUGAGUAACGCGUAGGUAACCUGCCUGGUAGCGGGGGAUAACUAUUGGAAACGAUAGCUAAUACCGCAUAAUAUUAAUUAUUGCAUGAUAAUUAAUUGAAAGGUGCAAUUGCACCACUACCAGAUGGACCUGCGUUGUAUUAGCUAGUAGGUGAGGUAACGGCUCACCUAGGCGACGAUACAUAGCCGACCUGAGAGGGUGAUCGGCCACACUGGGACUGGGACACGGCCCAGACUCCUACGGGGGGCAGCAGUAGGGGAUCUUCGGCAAUGGACGAAAGUCUGACCGAGCAACGCCGCGUGAGUGAAGAAGGUUUUCGGAUCGUAAAGCUCUGUUGUAAGAGAAGAACGGGUGUGAGAGUGGAAAGUUCACACUGUGACGGUAUCUUACCAGAAAGGGACGGCUAACUACGUG
rnacentral:rRNA from 1 species